CCUCCACUGAUAAGGUAAACCAACUAAUAAAAGCUCGCCACCUAUCUGAGGUUGACCAUUCAAAGCUUGCCCUCUAUAGCUGACCCAAAAGAUGCACUGAGAGUCAUUGGUAUUUCAAACUCUUCCCCAAUUAGCAACAACUCGGCUAUGAUCGUAAAUUGUUUCCUAAAGGAUGUGACAUAUAAGCAAAUCUAAGCGACCAAAAAGUGCGGACGUGAUUUACGGGCAAGACACGUGGGUUGUUACCUUAUUAACUAGCAUAUAUCCUCGGAUUACUAGGCGGCAGGCUUCAACCCUCGCCUAUAUAUUGUAUUCUCAGCGAUCCUGCAAGUAAGUUUUUUUCGACUCUUUUAAGCCGUCUCUCUGCCUCUCUCACACCUUCUCCUAAUUCUUGAAAGCCAUGUUUAACUUAGGCAUCAGAGGGUUCU
rnacentral:lncRNA from 1 species